rnacentral:rRNA from 1 species
CCCUUCGGGGGCCCCCAGUGGGGAAUUUUGCGCAAAAGGGGGAAACUUUGACCCAUGGGCCCCCGCGUGAGGGAAGAAGCCCUUCGGGGGGUAAACCGCUUUCAGGGGGGAAAAAAUUUUUCGGGUUAAUAGCCCGGAGGGUGACGGUUCCUUCGGAGGAAGCCCCGCCUAACUUCGUCCCACCACCCGCGGAAAUACGUAGGGGGAAAGCUUUUUCCGGAUUUUUUGGGCGAAAAGGGUGUUUGGGCGGCCGUGUAGUUCGGUUGUGAAAUCUCGGGGUUCAACCCGGGGAUGCCGUUGGAAACCGUCGGGUUGGAGUCCGGAAGAGGGGAGUGGAAUUCCUGGUGUAGCGGUGAAAUGCGCAGAUAUCGGGAGGACCACCGGUGGGGAAGGCGGCUUUUUGGGCCGUUCCUGACGCUGAGACGCGAAACCGUGGGGACCAACCGGGGCAAGAUACCCCCCCAUUCCG